AUGGCCGAGCUCGCGGCGGGUGCCGUGAGAUCGCUGCUGGUCGUCAUCCACAGCGAGACGGUGCUACUGCGUGGCGUGCGGGACGACGUGCAGUUCAUCAAGGAUGAGAUGGAGAGCAUGAAAAGCUUCCUGGCGCACCGGGCCAGGUCGACACCCCCCGGUGGCGAGCACGAUGAGCAGGUGCGCACCUGGAUGAACCAGGUGCGGCUGCUUGCCCAGGACUGCAACAACUGCAUCGACCUCUACCUCUAUAGGAGGAACCCCGAUAUCCACGGCGCCAGAGGCGGGCUCGAAGGCUACCUCUGGUGGGCACCCUGGUUCCUGCGCAAGCUGGCCGCGCAGCACCGCGCGGCUGACCAGCUGCGCAAGCUCAAGGAGCGAGCGCGUGACGUCAGCAAGCGGCGGUUGAGGUACGGCGUGGAGGUGCCGGCCAAGUCAGGGGAGGGGCAAUCGGCGUCAUCAUCAUCGUGGGCUGCUGCGGCCGAGGACGACGAAGAAGACAGUGACGGCCAACUCAUGAGGGCAAUGGCGACCGGUGGCCAUUCUGGUCCAAGAGCCUUCAUCCAGCCUCGCACUCUGGACGACUACGAUCUCCUCACCCUUAUACAUGAAAUUUGGGGUCCGUCGUCGCCCCGCGGCUACGAUCCCAUUGUCGUGGUUGACAUCCCGGCAGUGCACCCGGAUUAUGCGCCGCUAAGGCCCAAGGAAGUUCUCUUCUACAUUCUGCGCGAGCUCAAGCAUGCCAAAGCCAACCCCCAGGAGCAAGGCACAGAAGUGGACCAUUGGGAAGUUUACGUAAGAAGAUUGCAAAUUUAUAAUGAAAAGAAGAGGGCUAUUGCUCUUCUUAAAAUCGAGAAGAAUAUCGAAGAGAUGAAGGUUUAUGGUAAGCUUGAUAAAAUCGGAAGUGAUAUUCAAGGUCAACUAGAGAAGGGCAAUGGACUACCCAAGGUCGAUUUUGACCAGUUGGACCUCGACGUACAACUUCACCUACUGCUCCGGGUAGCGUCUCAACAAGAUCAAAAAGGGAAGAACAAAGACAUGCAUAGAUUUCCAGCGUGGGACAACAAUAACAUCAUCGUCAAGAAGCUUAAAGAGCAUAUGGAAGCAAAGGAGAAGGACAAUAAGUUUGAAGAGGAAGAAGCAGCCAAGCAUAUGUGGGUGGAAGGAGAAGAAGCCGCGGCCAAGCAUAUGGAGGAGGAAGGAGUAGCCAAGCAUCUGGAAGAGGGGGGAGGAAAAGUAACCAUGCAUAGGGAGGAGGAGGAAGGAGGCAGAGAAAUCAAAAGUCAGCAGAUGGCAUGGAUUCAGCUCGAUGAGGCACAAUAUGCACACAUCCUGCAGAAGCUGUUCCCCAAGAGCAACAGCAAGCCCCCGCAGGCUCAGGACAGAUCCUUGGGCAGGCAAGCUACAAAGAUCACAACGCCUACAUUGGGUGGGGAUCAAAUCAAAAAACUAUUCCACGACGCGAAGGAAGACAUGUUACGGGACCUGCAGCAAGGCAAAUAUGACAGGAGUGAAGGGAUAGAAACAGAAAUUGCUUCUGAAACUUUUGCCUGUUUCAUGGAUCAGAUGAUGGUCAAAAUGAAGAAUGAGUUCAAAGAGCAGCUCAAGAUCAAAGGGCUCGUGGACGAGAUUAAAAAUAACUUGAAUCGUCUUCCGAAUAAGUGUGAAUGCCCCCUGUUUAUCCUCAAAGUUGAUGAGCUGAUGGAUGUUUCCACAUAUGAGGAUACCAGAAAUGCUUUGAGCCUGUUAAAAUGCAGCGCCGAUAUGAUGAUCGUCACGGCCACAAAGGACAUCCAGCUGGCCAGAGAAUAUUGCUAUCCCCAGAUGGAACCUAUAGACUGUUCUCUUGCUAGCCUCUACCAUGAUACAAUGCACGAGCUUACAGGCCAGCAGAAGAAUGAAGACAGCUACAACCCCCAAAUUUUUCAUGAUAUCUUACAGCAGUGUGAGCCACAUGAAUUCAGCAUGAAAAUCUUCACUCAUGCUUUGUAUGCUAACCCCAAGAGGAGCGAUGAGGAGUUACUCAAGCUGCACAAAACUCUCCGGGUUUUGCCAACAAGAUCAUUCAACAGCAUCGCUAAGGUGAUGUUCAAGUUCUCUUACGGUGAUCUGCCUAAAGAAUACAAGUCAUGCUUGUUGUACCUAGCUAUCUUCCCUCCCGGACAAAAGAUCAGGCGGUCAACCUUGAUUGCACGCUGGGUUGCAGAAGGGCUGACAUCCAAGGAAGAUUGGCCCAGUUCUGUGCGUCAGGCCAACCGAUGUUUUGACGCACUCGUUGGCCGCUGCCUAGUUUAUCCUGCUGAUAUUGAUGCCACAGGAAAUAUAAAGAGCUGCGUCGUAGAUGAUCGAAUUCAUGGAUUCAUUACCACCAUUGCCAGAAAACAACACAUUGUGGAGACACGACUGCCACGUCACUUGGCUCGCCACUUCUCCAUUUUCAAUGAUCUCCAACUCCGUAGCUCUGAUACAAUUGAUAAAUUCUUCCAGGGGCUCUCUAAAUCAUCUCAUGUAUCCUUGCUCAAGGUGCUAGAUCUAGAAGGUUGUCGGUGCUUUCGUGGGAAGAAUCAGCGGUACCUCAAGGAAAUCUGCAGCAAGAUGUUACUGCUCAAGUAUCUGAGCCUGAGGAGAACAGAUAUUACCCAGCUACCCAGCGAAAUCAACAACCUCCGUGAGCUAGAGGUACUGGACAUCCGAGAAACUAUGGUGCCUCCACAUGCAACAGCAAAUAUCCUGCUAUUGAAGCUGAAGCGUCUGCUUGCUGGUUACAUUGAUUGUUCAAGCAAUUUUGGCUCUAGUGGAAGGAUUCCUCAUAGGAUUGACAAAAUGGUAAACAUUGAGGUACUAUCGAAUGUCAAGGCCCAGAAGAGUCAAGAUUUAAAAGAUAUUGGAAAGCUACGGCAGCUGAGGAAGCUAGGAGUGGUCAUCGAUGAUAAGGAUAGUCACCUCAAGAAUUUGCUUGAGACGAUCAGUGACCUACAUGAGUGCCUCCGUUCUCUGUCAAUCACUGCUAUUCCUAUAGCCACACCAUGGGAAUGGGAGGGUACUCCUUACAGUGCAGAGUUACCAGAUGGCAUAGGCUCUCUCUUAGAAAACCAUCCCAAGAUUCUUGAGAGUCUAAGCAUCAGGGGAACCACACAGAAGGGGCGUCUUCUUCCAUUGUUCAUAAAAGGUGAUAAAAACGAACUUGCCAAGGUAACCCUAUGUCACACUCUGCUGAGCCAAGAUGAUCUGAAAGUCCUUGCCAAGCUGCCCAAGUUACGGUGCAUAAGGCUCCAACACAUUGCAUGCACCGAGUCUAUGUUGAACUUCAAGAAGGAUGAAUUCAGAUGCCUCAAGUACCUUCUUGUUGAGGGCUCGGCCUUGACUAAUAUCACUUUUGAGCAUGGAGCAGCCAAAGAGCUCGAGAAGAUGGUUUUGUCUUUCACCGGCAUAGGUUCUAUUUCUGGAGUUGACUUUCUUCCAAAAUUUAAAGAGCUCGAGAUGAACAACAGCUUCUGUGGCAGUUUGUUAUCAUCAUUUGACAAUGCCAAACAGAUAGCCAAGCUGACUCUUUGUGGUACAUUGCUAGAGCAAGAUGCUCUACAACUGCUCACCAAGAAACCAAAUAUACGCUCUCUGGUGCUCCUGGACGAGUCUUUUGGUGGAAGUCAGAACGAGAUUACAUUGAAAAAAGAUGAGUUCUUAUGGCUCAACCUCCUUGUUGUUGACUGCUUGGCCAUCACCAAGAUUGUCUUCACCAGCGGAUCUGCUCCUAGGCUCGAGAAGAUUGUCUGGUCAUCUUCCACAUCGCUCUCCGGCAUUGAGAAACUUCCCAGGUUGAAGGAGCUCGAGUUCAACUCCAAGAUUCUCGGCGACCAAGUCCCUGAUGAGGUGAGGGGGGCCAUUAAAAACCACAGAAACAAUCCUAGUCUUAAACUCAAUGGACCAGAAACUCAAGACUAG
rnacentral:rRNA from 1 species